rnacentral:rRNA from 1 species
CCUACGGGUGGCAGCAGUGGGGAAUAUUGGACAAUGGGCGAAAGCCUGAUCCAGCCAUGCCGCGUGUGUUAAGAAGGCCUUCGGGUUGUAAAGCACUUUCAGUGGGGAAGAAAGCCUUGGGGCUAAUACCCUCGAGGAAGGACAUCACCCACAGAAGAAGCACCGGCUAACUCCGUGCCAGCAGCCGCGGUAAUACGGAGGGUGCGAGCGUUAAUCGGAAUUACUGGGCGUAAAGCGCGCGUAGGCGGUCUGAUAAGCCUGUUGUGAAAGCCCCGGGCUCAACCUGGGAACGGCAUCCGGAACUGUCAGGCUAGAGUGCAGGAGAGGAAGGUAGAAUUCCCGGUGUAGCGGUGAAAUGCGUAGAGAUCGGGAGGAAUACCAGUGGCGAAGGCGGCCUUCUGGACUGACACUGACGCUGAGGUGCGAAAGCGUGGGUAGCAAACAGGAUUAGAUACCCUGGUAGUC